rnacentral:rRNA from 1 species
CCUACGGGAGGCAGCAGUGAGGAAUAUUGGUCAAUGGCCGUAAGGCUGAACCAGCCAAGUAGCGUGAAGGAUGAAUGCCCUAUGGGUUGUAAACUUCUUUUAUAAGGGAAUAAAACGAGGCACGUGUGCCUUUUUGCAUGUACUUUAUGAAUAAGGAUCGGCUAACUCCGUGCCAGCAGCCGCGGUAAUACGGGGGAUGCGAGCGUUAUCCGGAUUUAUUGGGUUUACAGGGUGCGCAGGCGGAAGAUCAAGUCAGCGGUAAAAUUGAGGGGCUAAACCUCUGCGCGCCGUUGAAACUGGUUUUCUAGAGUGAGGUAGAAGUAUGCGGAAUUCGAGGUGUAGCGGUGAAAUGCUUAGAUAUCACGCAGAACACCGAUUGCGAAGGCAGCAUACCGGCGCUCAACUGACGCUGAGGCACGAAAGUGUGGGUAUCGAACAGGAUUAGAUACCCCUGUAGUC